rnacentral:tRNA from 1 species
GGCCCAUAGUUUAAUGGAUAAAACGGCCCUCCUAAGGGGCAGCUACAGGUUCGAUUCCUGUUGGGGCUGCCA